rnacentral:rRNA from 1 species
CGGACGGGUGAGUAAUGUCUGGGAAACUGCCCGAUGGAGGGGGAUAACUACUGGGAACGGUAGCUAAUACCGCAUAACGUCGCAAGACCAAAGAGGGGGACCUUCGGGCCUCUUGCCAUCGGAUGUGCCCAGAUGGGAUUAGCUAGUAGGUGGGGUAAUGGCUCACCUAGGCGACGAUCCCUAGCUGGUCUGAGAGGAUGACCAGCCACACUGGAACUGAGACACGGUCCAG